rnacentral:lncRNA from 1 species
UUUGUGCAAUAAAUUGAAUGAAGCUUGGGCAUCGCAUUACAACUUACAAUAGGUAAUUCUUUUUUCCUUUUUUUUGUAUAUAUAUGUGUGUUGUAUUUACAUAUUUUUGUCAUGAAAUGGUAUUACAACAAAUAAAUGAAUUGGAGGGAGCUCAGCUUAGUAUGGCUACGCAUUGCAGUUGAUAUGGGCGGAGUGAGUUCUUCAACUUGCAGCUUGGAUCAUUCACAGCCUCAUGGCCUCAACUCCUCUUUCAUAUACGAGGUCCAUCUGUAACUGCCUCGACCCACUGUUUCCAACAGAUCCAUCAUCCAUCACACAUGAGUUUGCAGGUAACUCAUCUGCAAGCAAUCCAGAGUAUAGCUCAGCCCAAGUAUUAACCUCAUAUUCUCUCUCUCAAUGUGGAUGGUGGAGGAUCAACAAGACUCUUCAUCAAUCUCGGCACUUCAUUACAGUGCAGAGGCAAAUGAUUGUUUCCAGGCAUACAUUCUUCACUCAUUUAACAUCGACCCUUUUAAUUUGGGUUUAUCUUCAAAAAUCUCUUGUAUUUCUCCAUACAUCCCAAUAUGAAUAACUUCUAGGUAACCCCGCCUUCUCCAUCUUCUUACAAUUUCCAAUUUUUAACCAUUUAAGAGACGAAAAUAGAGGUUCUGCACUCUAUCGAUGAUAUGUCCUUAUAUAUAUUUCGAUUAGGUGAAUCUAUAAUCUAUCUAUUCUCUACUAUAUUAAAAAGACAAUUUUCAAUUUCAAAUCAAUUUUUAAAAUUGAGUGACAAUUUUGUAGUUAAAAUGAAAUUGUAGAGAUACUUUUUCUUUAACUUCUUAUUUUUUUUGUUUUAUUUCUUUCCAAAAUUGUGAAAUUUUAAUAAUUAUAAAAUAUUUAAUAUGCAUAUCAAAUUAAAGGUCGCACUAAGAGCUUUAAUUUGAUAUAUUUUAUGUACUUUUUAAUUUUAAAUAUAACAGUUAUAUUCAUUUAGAUUUAAAUUUUAGAAAAUUCUCUCUCAUCUCUCAAUUUUUAUGAAUAAUUUUUUAAUUAUUUUUUAUUCUUACUUUUGUUGUUAUUUUUUAACUUAUUAUAUUUUCCUUUCCAUAAUAUCAAUUUUUAUUAUUGUAAAUAUUUCUUUAAUUUUUUAUUUUUUCAAUAUUCAGCUAAAAUAUAUUUAAUUAAAAUUAAUUUGUUAUUAUAUUUAUAAAUAUAAUAAUUGAAUUGAUAUCAAUUUAAUAUAAAUAUAAAAAUAUAAAAAUGUUUAACGUACAUUGCAUGCUAUAUGCAAAUGCUAAUUACGUUAAAUAUGCAACGCAAUUCAGUCCAUGGAACAUAAAGAUUCUGUAUUCGCUGCGUUGGAACAUGUGACAAUAUUUGAUUAUGCUAACAUUUUACACCAAGGGAACAUCGUGCUAAUUUUCUUAAAAUUUUGAGUUGGUGGAGUGGUGGAGAUUAAAUUUGAUAUCUUUCUAUUUACACAAGGGAGGUCACCAGAAUUAAUGCGACACUGCCAUGAAAAUCAUCCUAAAUAAAUAACUUUAAGGUGAUGUAAUGAAAAUAUAAAUAUACACUAAUUAAUGUGCAUUCUUAGAUUCAUUGAAAAAUUGAAAACGAAGGGAUGGAGGAGUGUUUCCCACCAUUCUCUCUUGCAUAGACAGUUGUUGGGCACUCUGUUAUUUGGAUCAUCUGGAUGGAGUUGCAAAUCAUAGUUUCCUUGGCCGAUAGAAUAAACUUAAUAUUUUAAUUUUGUAAGGGUGAUGAAACAUGUUCCUUCAUCUUAGAAUAUAUCUUGUUUUUCUCCACAUCCCCAAAUUUCAAUAUAUUCCCUUGUUACAUUUUUCUAUUAUUAUCCAUGUAAUUGUAAGAGAGGAAAAACAAUGUGUUUGCUGAAAAACAGAUUUUGAAGGCAUGCAAUGCACCCUUUCCUCAAAGGUUCCACGAGUAGGAAACCAUAAUCUAUAUACCAACUAAUUUAUCAACUCAGCUCAAAUCAAAACCACUUGUCUUGCUAAAAACUCAUACUCUCAUAAGCUUAAGAGCAAGCUACUGAGCACAAUACAAAAUCUUAAACUUCUAAAGGCUAAAGCUAAAAGCUCGUGUCAUAAUCAGCAGAAAGAACACUAGAGUAUUUUCUUCCUCGUGAACUAGCCACUGCUACAGCAGACCAUCAAAACCUGCUUCCGCAACAACACUGCACCUACCAAUUGCCUUAGCUUGAUCGUGAAAAAAUAUGCCAGCAUCAUUAAACAGAGACAAUAAAUGCAGAAGAUCACCGUGAGACAGUUUUGCCGGCCUCUUAUCCACAUAACCACCUGAUUCCAAGAUGCCCACGAUUCUCCCCUUAAAAGAGCUGAUCCCAUCUCCCACCUCCAGCCGCGGCUGAGAGCUUCCCUCGUUAGUUUCGCACUCAUCAUCUCCAUCAAGAUCAUCACUAUCUUGACAAAACCCUUCAACUCUGCAUAAUUUCAUCAGCUCCAUCAGUUUCCUCUUCUGCUUGAACGUUGCACCUAGCGUUUUGUUCUUGUUGUUGAAGCAAGUUCUUGUGAAUGCCCACCAUUCCUCAAGAUUCACAUCCGGUAUCUCAGCUUUGGGAUAGAGUUUCACAACGGAGGAAUCAACCUUGGGGCAUGGCACGAAGUCCCUCUUGCUCACGUCCAUCACAAACUCGACUUCUGCCAUGAGCUUCAUGUUUAUCGCUAGUCUGUUGUACUCUGAGUCGCCUGGCUUUGCUAGUAGCCUCUGCGCAAACUCUUUUUGCAGCAAUAGCGUCGCACUUCUGAAUGGAUUCGUAGCUGCCCCGUAUACCAGUUUGGCCAACAGAGGUGAGGAUAUGUUGUAAGGAAUGUUGGCCACAACAAGAUUGAAUUGUGGAAACUCAGUCUUCAAUGCAUCACCAUUGAUGAUCUGUAACAUAAAUUGCAUGAAGAUUUCAGAUUUACCAAAAAAAAACAUUAAAAAAAUGUGUUUUAUUGGAUCUUCCUACAAAGAGACUGAAAUUGAAAAGAAUCAAAAUGAGUUUAUCUGAAUUCGUUCCUAUUUUCAAACUAGCUGCAGCUUUCAAAUGCAACAAUUCUCGUUUAGGCAUUUAUCCAAACAAGUUAAGUGCGAAAAGCAUAUAUCACAAGACCUUUCUUUCUCUCGAAAUUAACCCACAAACAAUUAACUGCAUAGAAUAAAACCACCCUUUCUCCACGCGCAUUAUCUGACAAAGCAGAAAAUUCAUGAAACCUCACGUUCAGGCGUUCCUGGACACCUGCGGCGGCGGCGCGUUUCCGCAGACUAUCAACCAUCCGAUUAUCGAUCUCGACUGCGACGACAUUGUUGGCUAAUUCAAGCAGCUUAAUCGUGAGAUUCCCGGUGCCCGGCCCGAUUUCCAGCACGGUAUCGUCGGAUUUUAUGUCGGACACUCGGACGAUUGAGUCCAGCACUCGAGGGUUGGUCAGAAGAUGCUGACCUCUGCUCUUAUACAGCCUCAUUUUCCCUUCUUCUCCUCCGACGACAUGCUCGGACUUCGUCUGGAGAAAAUGCCGGAAAAUAAGCAGAUUGGCAGAGAGAGUUUCCCUCCUACGGAUCAUUCACAAUAAUUUCUUCGCCUCUGUGAAUUUUCAAGCAAAUGAAUUAAUAAUAUUAUUAUUGGGCCUAAAUAAUUAAUGAAUCCUAUUGCUCUUCUUCCUUGUUGUGUUAUUGGGCUUUGAUCGAAACUUCUACGCGACACACAGAGUCCAAAGCAAGGAUAAUUCUAUUAAUAGCUUCUCCUUUAUUCAAUAUAGCCCCCAUUAAAUAUAAUAAAUAAAUAAUUAUAAAUUUAUUAUAUAGCUCAUAGUCGCAAAUAAUACUCCCUCCUGUUCGAUAUAUUUGUUGUUCUGCAUCUUUGCACAUUGAUUAAGAAAACAAAAUUAUCCUCAAAUUAACCUUAGUUAAUGAUAACUAAUUUUUAAUUAAUCACCCAUUAUUUUAGUGAGAAUCAAAUACGAGCCGCUACAAGCUAUGACUAUGAUGCUCCACUUGACGAAUAUGGUAACAUUUCUCGAUUUGAAACUCUUAGUUUCCUAGGAACAUUAUAAGCUGCCAAAGAGCAAGCAAAAAUCCAUUGGAUGCCAAAACACUUGAUUUUUUUUAAUGAUACUGAACUCGAGCCGUGCCAUAGGUUUGACACGGUCAUCUUAAAGAGCUGCACAAAGCUGUUAAACUAUGUGAGAAGGCUUUGGUUUCAGCUAGGAAAUCUUCAUCAGCAGGUUGUAACCAUGCACUAUUCUAUGAUGUGUUUAAAUUAUUUUUAUAAUUUCCCCUCAAAGUUGAACAUUUUUCCAGGUUCAGAAUCAGGAGAUUGUGCAAAUUAUGAUACUAAUUCUGCACCAAAAGUGAUUUUCAAUAACACGCAUUAUAAUAUAGCCUGCCUCCUUGGUCGAUCAGCAUGUAACCUUAGUGGAUUAACUAACCCACUUGAAAUUUAGAAUAUGGCGAACAAAUAAUUAUAUGAAGUUGAAGACGUAAUGAAAAGCAUGCAUGUUGAGCUUAAUGCAGAAAUAUGUGGAACUCUACUUGGUAUUAGUACUACUCAUGGAAAUAUAACAUUGGGAGGAAAGGCUGCCAGAAUGUGGUUAUCUCAUGGAAAUAUCGCUAUUGCUUUAAUGUAUUGUUCAUGUGGUUCGUCUUUGCAACUUAUAUUCAGCUGCGGGCAGAUGGGAAGAAGCUCAUAAGACGCAAUUAAUAAUGCAUGAUCUAGGUCUUAGCAAAACAAAGCCAACUAGCAAGAUUUCAGAAUGAAAGAUGAUGGAUAAAUAUUUGGAUUUUAUAGUUUAGUGGAUUGUGCUAGAGGUAACAUUGCUAAUUGUAUUCUGUAUUGGCAUGGCAUAUGGAGUCUCUUUUGUUGUGAGAUAUUAAUUUAUGCCUAUUUUUAUUUACUCUUUUUCUAGAAUGUUGGGGUAAUAUUGGAAUAUACAUUGCUCUAAUUUCUGAUGAUUUUUCCUUUCUUAAUUGAUGAGGUUUUUUCAGAAUGGAAACACGACCCGAUGAAGAAAGUACUCAGCUUCAGGGCCGAAGUUCCGGGACUCACCAUGUAGGCCAUCUCCCCGUGUGGGCAGGCCCGUUUGACUGGUUCAACAUUAUAGUAAAAUAUUUCUGAACAUUUUUUACCAUUAUUUCCACUCAUUUAUUGGCUUACGUUAUGCUUAUUUAAUGUUGAAAUCCCAUGCUUUAGUUUUCUUUAUGAAUUUUCGGACUCCUUAUGCUCAAUAGUAGAGCUGUCAAAAUGGGCCCAAAGUGGGCCCAUCGGCCCGUAAUUUUGGCUGGGCUGGGCUAGGAUUUUUUAGGCCAAAAAAAAAUCGGGCCUAUCUGGCCCGACCCAUGUAGCCCGUCAGGCCACGCGGCCUGCAGGCCAAAAAGCCCGUCGGGCUUUUGGGCCAAAUUGGCACAGUCGGUUAGUUUAUAGAAAAUAGGCGUUUUUUUCCAAUAUAAUAACUAAAAUAAGUCUAAUAAGUACUUCAUCCGUCCCAUUAUUUAUGGGACAUUUUCUAUUUUGGGUUGUCCCAACCUAUAUGGCACAUUUCUAUUUUGGGCAAAAAUAAAGAAUAGAUUAAGCCUUAAUUAAUUAACUAAUUAAAUCUUAACACUACACUAAUGGGACGGAUAUGUUGAACUUCAAACCAACCCUAAAAUCAUUCCUAUUUUUCGUCUAUUUCACAUCCGCCGCUCUCUCUCUCUAAUCCCAACUCCUCUCUCGAAACUUUUCAUCUGGACUCCCUAGGGUUAGUAAUCCCUCUUUCAAUCUGCACUCGUCUCUCACCCGCACUCGAUAAACUGCUUGUUGUCGUGAGGGUUUGGUAGACAGGGGAAUACGUUACUUCUAUUCCAUGAGCAAAGAUCACGGCAUAGUGCCAGAUAUAAAGCACUACAACAACCUGAUCUAUCUUCUAGGCCAAACUGAGCAUUUUUUGAUGAAGUUGAGCUUAAUGCAGAAAUAUGUGGAACUCUACUUGGUAUUAGUACUACUCAUGGAAAUAUAGCAUUGGGAGGAAAGGCUGCCAGAAUGUGGCUAUCUCAUGGAAAUAUCGCUAUUGCUUUAAUGUAUUGUUCAUGUGGUUCGUCUUUGCAACUUAUAUUCAGCUGCGGGCAGAUGGGAAGAAGCUCAUAAGACGCAAUUAAUAAUGCAUGAUCUAGGUCUUAGCAAAACAAAGGCAACUAGCAAGAUUUCAGAAUGAAAGAUGAUGGAUAAAUAUUUUGAUUUUAUAGUUUAGUGGAUUGUGCUAGAGGUAACAUUGCUAAUUGUAUUAUGUAUUGGCAUGGCAUAUGGAGUCUCUUUUGUUUUGAGAUAUUAAUUUAUGCCUAUUUUUAUUUACUCUUUUUCUAGAAUGUUGGGGUAAUAUUGGAAUAUACACUGCUCUAAUUUCUGAUGAUUUUUCCUUUCUUAAUCAAUGGGUUAUCUGUCUGAAUCGUUUGAUGAGGUUUUUUCAGAAUGGAAACACGACCUGAUGAAGAAAGUACUCAGCUCAGGGCCGAAGUUCCGGGACUCACCAUGUAGGCCAUCUCCCCGUGUGGGCCCGUUUGACUGGUUCAACAUUAUAGUAAAAUAUUUCUGAACAUUUUUUACCAUUAUUUCCACUCAUUUAUUAGCUUACGUUCAGCUUAUUUAAUGUUGAAAUCCCAUGCUUUAGUUUUCUUUAUGAAUUUUCGGACUCCCUAUGCUCAAUAGUAGAGCUGUCAAAAUGGGUCCAAAGUGGGCCCAUCGGCCCGUAGUUUUGGCUGGGCUAGGCUAGGAUUUUUUAGGCAAAAAAAAACACCCAUGCAGCCCGUCAGGCCACGCGGCCCGCAGGCCAAAAAGCCAGUCGGGCUUUUGGGCCAAAUUGGCAAGGUCGGUUAGUUUAUAGAAAAUAGGCGUUUUUUUUCAAUAUAAUAACUAAAAUAAGUCUAAUAAGUACUCCAUCCGUCCCAUUAUUUAUGGGACAUUUUCUAUUUUGGGUUGUCCCAACCUAUAUGGCACAUUUAUAUUUUGGGCAAAAAUAAAGGAUAGAUUAAGCCUUAAUUAAUUAACUAAUUAAAUCUUAACACUACACUAAUGGGACCGAUAUGUUGAACUUCAAACCAACCCUAAAAUCAUUCCUAUUUUUCGUCCAUUUCACAUCCGCCGCUCUCUCUCUCUAAUCCCAACCUAAAAUCAUUCCUAUUUUUCGUCCAUUUCACAUCCGCCGCUCUCUCUCUCUAAUCCCAACUCCUCAUCUCGACUCCCUAGGGUUAGUAAUCCCUCUUUCAAUCUGCACUCGUCUCCCACCAGCCCUCGAUAAACUGCUUGUUGUCGUGAGGGCUUGGUAGACAAGAAAAUACAUUACUUCUAUUCCAUGAGCAAAGAUCACGCCAUAGUGCCAGAUAUAAAGCACUACAACAGCCUGAUCUAUCUUCUAGGCCAAACUGGGCAUUUUUGAUGAAGUUGAGCUUAAUGCAGAAAUAUGUGGAACUCUACUUGGUAUUAGUACUACUUGGUAUUAGUACUACUCAUGGAAAUAUAGCAUUGGGAGGAAAGGCUGCCAGAAUGUGGUUAUCUCAUGGAAAUAUCGCUAAUUCGUUAUUGCUUUAAUGUAUUGUUCAUGUGGUUCGUCUUUGCAACUUAUAUUCAGCUGAGGGCAGAUGGGAAGAAGCUCAUGAGACGCAAUUAAUAAUGCAUGAUCUAGGUCUUAGCAAAACAAAGGUAACUAGCAAGAUUUCAGAAUGAAAGAUGGUGGAUCAAUAUUUUGAUUUUAUAGUUUAGUGAAUUGUGCUAGAGGUAACAUUGCAAUUUGUAUUCUGUAUUGGAAUGGCAUAUGGAGUCUCUUUUGUUUUGAGAUAUUAAUUUAUGCCUAUUUUUAUUUACUCUUUUUCUAGAAUGUUGGGGUAAUAUUGGAAUAUACACUGCUCUAAUUUCUGAUGAAUUUUCCUUUCUUUGGAAUAUACACUGCUCUAAUUUCUGAUGAUUUUUCCUUUCUUAAUCAAUGGGUUAUCUGUCUGAAUCGUUUUAUGAGGUUUUUUCAGAAUGGAAACACGACCUGAUGAAGAAAGUACUCAGCUCACAGCCGAAGUUCCGGGACUCACCAUGUAGGCCAUCUCACUGUGUGGGCCCGUUUGACUUGUUCAACAUUAUAGUAAAAUAUUUCUGAACAUUUUUUACCAUUAUUUCCACUCAUUUAUUGGCUUACAUUAUACUUAUUUAAUGUUAAAAUCCCAUGCUUUAGUUUUCUUUAUGAAUUUUUGGACUCCUUAUGCUCAAUAGUAGAGCUGUCAAAAUGGGCCGAAAGUGGGCCCAUCGGCCCGUAGUUUUGGCUGGACUGGGCUAGAAUUUUUUAGGCCCAAAAAAAACCGGGCCUAUUUGGCCCAACCCAUGCAGCCCGUCAGGCCACGCGGCCCGCAGGCCAAAAAACCCGUCGGGCUUUCGGGCCAAAUUGGCACGGUCGGUUAGUUUAUAGAAAAUAGGCGUUUUUUCCAAUAUAAUAACUAAAAUAAGUCUAAUAAGUACUCCAUCCGUCCCAUUAUUUAUGAGACAUUUUCUAUUUUGGGUUGUCCCAACCUCUACAGCACAUUUCUAUUUUGGGCAAAAAUAAAGGAUAGAUUAAGCCUUAAUUAAUUAACUAAUUAAAUCAUAACACUAGUACACUACACUAAUGGGACGGAUAUGUUGAACUUCAAACCAACCCUAAAAUCAUUCCUAUUUUUCGUCCAUUUCACAUCCGCCGCCCUCUCUCUCUAAUCCCAACUCCUCUCUCGAAACUUUUCAUCUCGACUCCCUAGGGUUAGUAAUCCCUCUUUGAAUCUGCACUCGUCUCUCACCAGCCCUCGAUAAACUGGUUGUUGUCGUGAGGGCUUGGUAGACAGGGGAAUACGUUACUUCUAUUCCAUGAGCAAAGUUCACGGCAUAGUGCCAAAUAUAAAGCACUACAACAGCCCGAUCUAUCUUCUAGGUGUCAAAUAUAUACUUAGGUGUCAAUUCCGGCUGCCACAUCAUCAAUUCCGACUGCCACCGUGUCAUUUUCGACACCGGCGUAAGAAAAAAUCGGUCAUCGGACAAAAACGGGACAAAAAUGAAAGGUUAUGUAUUUAGAGGCGGAUUUUUUAAAUUAGGAGCAAAAACCAAUUCCGUGUAAACGUUAUGGAUUUACAGGCAAUUAACCCUAUUAUCUAUAUUGUAGUUAUUUUUUUGUAACUUUUUAUUUUUAUUAAAAAAUAAAUAAAAUAUGUACAAUAUAGAGAAUAUAAUAAAAUAACUAAAUCUUAUUGUUUCGUAUAUAUCUUCAUCACUGAUAUUAGUGAAAUGUUAUUGAAGGAAAGAUAUAUCUCAAUAAGGAGUCCUUAUUUGUGUUUAUCUUCACAAUAAGGGCACGAAUUGGAAGGCUCAACAAUUUUUUGAUACAAAUAUGAAGUCACAUCUCACACUUUUGUACACGAAUUUAGAGAGAUAGUCUUGUUUUCAGUCAGCUAUAUUUUUAUAAUUCACGAGCACACAAACUUCCAUGUCUGAUCCGAAAAAGGAUAGUAUUAAGUUUUCAUUGAAAGCUACGGUGAAUCAAAAGAAACAGAAGGUUGUAUUUGCAGAAGUAGACGGCGGCUUUGCAGAUGUGUUGUUAAGCUUCCUAACACUGCCAUUGGGAACUAUUGUAAGAAUGAGCCGCCAGAAUUUGGAAGCUUCACCACUUUAUACAACGGUUUAGCAAAUCCAUUUUUGGACAGAAGGUGCUAAGUCGAUCCACCAACUUCAUCCGAUGCUCCAAACCAUAAUAGCCAAAUGGGUAUAUGCUCAACAACUUCACAUUGAGUCUUGACUUGAAUGUGUAGGUUGCGAGGCGGGUUUAAGCUCUCGCCGAGUCAGUUUUUUUUUUUUUUUAAUUAUUUAUUUUGUAGAAUUUUUAAACUAAUCCAAAAUUUGCGAACAUUACGUUGAUAUUCUGAAUCUCGGAGUUGUAUCUCCUUCCGCUCUUCCCUACUUUCGUCUUGUGUUUAGACGAGUAAUCUUUUUCCUUUUCACGGUUUUUCCCACUGGGUUUUCCGUGAAAAGGUUUUAAUGAGGCUCGGCCCUUAGUCUGCUCUUUCUGUGCUUUCAAGGGUUUUUUUAGGUUUUUUCUUUUCUUUUAUUAUAUAAAAUCGUCAUUUAAUAAAAUUUGCGAACAUUGUUAUGCAAAAAUCAAAAUCAAUCAAUUGAAUUGCCAGAAAAAUAUAUCAUCGCCAAGAAAAUACUACAUUCAUCCAUAAAAAAUGUACCAUAAUUAUCCCUUUGGGCGUUUAUAAAAAGUAUACCAUUUUCAUUUUUGAGACAUAAUCUCAUUUUCUCUUAUUAAUUAAUUAAGAUGACUCAUUUUUAUAUGACCUCACACUCAAUUCAACCACAGUCAAUCAUUUCUACUUAACAUAUCUACUAACUAUUUUCUUAAAAUUCAUUUCCAUAAAAAGUGAUACGUCUUGAUGGCAAGAGACAGACAUCUUCUACAUGAAUAGGCUCGGGAUGAAGCAAGCGAUCAAGGUCAAAACCGUGUAUGGUCUUUAACUAAAUUGAUGUGGUUGUACAAGAGAGCUGUCAUGGUAGGUGUGAUUCCUCUGAUUUCAAGAUGCUUGUGGAAGGCUUUCUGCAGAUUCUCAUCCAAAUCCCUGAGAAAAUCAAUCACCAAACCACGACUUUAGACACAUUGCAAGGAAGUGCGGCAACCACCAAAAUCAUAUGCUAUUUGAUCCUCGGGGUCUUUGAUGCUCAUGCUAUCAAUAGUAAUCUCAUCAAAAUAAGCACUGCAAGAAAACUCUAUAACAUCCUCAUCAGGUAUUUGGACUUCAACACUGAUGUUUUCUCUAUUAUAUUCUCUGACCAGUGUUAUAGUAAUGUAUUGCAGCUCGUUUGCUGUUAUAUUAGAGAUUAAGGCUAAAAUCUAGCAGUCUAUUUAGCAUUUAGCUUGAGAUUGAUUGCUGAAAACCUUAAUCGUUCGCAUAUGAUACAGAGUCGGUCACAAGGGAUGAAUCGAGUGAACUUGCCACUGAAAUGUUACAGUCUAUGAGUAGCCGUUGCUGGUAAAUAAUGCAGAAGAAUUACUAAAUCUCAAAGCAGUAGAAUUUUGAUUAAGAUGAUCAUCAUGAUAAAAAAGAACUAAACACGAAUAUAUUUCUUCUUUAGCUGAGAAAAAAAAUGUUGUAGUCUAUCAUUUUUUAAAUGGCAGAGAGGAUAUAUGAUAUGAGGUUAAGUCUAUGAGUGACCGUUUUACACCAAAUCCCUUCACAGGUGCCACUAAAGUCAGCACAGCACUUAUCCAGGAAAUGAGGUAUUGUUUAGAGCGGAGAUUCCUCUGAUCAGCAGAGGGAAUAUUAUUACUCAUCAUCUUUUUACCCAAAACUUGUUUUUGCUUGUAUGAAUACAACUUGCAUGCUCCUAUCUAUAAUGUGCCAAAUUUUAGGCUAUAUACAUAAAUUUGUAAGAGAUUUUUGUGCCAAAACUUGUUUUUGCUUGUAUGAAUACAACUGCGUGUAAUGCGUCACCCUUGGAUACAUAAACGACCAAAUUACCACUGAUAAAAUUACAAAUAUGCCACCACAUGAAUGCUAUCUAAUGAAUUAAAAAAAUUUCGUUUCAUCUGUGCUGUAUUUUGUGCCCAACCAACCCACAUUGUCAAUCACUCUCAAUCUAUGCAAAAUACUUUGUGCAAUAAAUAUAAUGAAGCUCGGGCAUCGCAUUACAACUUACAAUAGGUAAUUCUUUUUCCUUUUUUUUGUAUAUAUAUAUGUGUGUUGUAUUUACAUGAACAUACAUAUUUUUGUAAUGAAAUGGUUUUACAACAAAUAAAUGAAUUCGAGGGAGCUCAGCUUACUAUGGCUACGCAUUGCACUUGAUAUGGUAACAGCCCUUGUCGUACAUCCGCUGGAUUUCUUCCCGGUAGACGGGCAGUGACUUAUCCGGUAUGGCCGGGGUGAGUUCUACGACAUCCCCCAUCUUCAACUUGCAGCUUGGAUCACUCACAGCCUCAUGGUUUACCCUCGGCCUCAACUCCUCUUUCAUAGAGAACCCAUACGAGGUCCAUCUGUAACUGCCUCGACCCACUGUUUCCAACAGAUCCAUCACAGAUGAGUUUGCAGGUAACUCCUGUACAGACAUCUGCAAGCAAUC